UCUUACAGAUAAGCAAAGAAAGCAGUUUCCUGAGAUGGAAUCUACUCCUGGUGAGGAUACUAUGAA
rnacentral:pre_miRNA from 1 species